GACGAACGCUGGCGGCGUGCCUAAUACAUGCAAGUGGAACGCAUUGAUAUCACCGGAGCUUGCUCCACCGAUAUAAAUGAGUCGCGAACGGGUGAGUAACGCGUAGGUAACCUGCCUGAUAGCGGGGGAUAACUAUUGGAAACGAUAGCUAAUACCGCAUGAGAGUGUUUAACACAUGUUAGAGACUUAAAAGAUACAAUUGUAUCACUAUCAGAUGGACCUGCGUUGUAUUAGCUAGUUGGUAGGGUAGCGGCCUACCAAGGCAACGAUACAUAGCCGACCUGAGAGGGUGAUCGGCCACACUGGGACUGAGACACGGCCCAGACUCCUACGGGAGGCAGCAGUAGGGAAUCUUCGGCAAUGGACGAAAGUCUGACCGAGCAACGCCGCGUGAGUGAAGAAGGUUUUCGGAUCGUAAAGCUCUGUUGUAGCGGAAGAACGCGUGUAAGAGUGGAAAGUUACACAGGACGUACGUACCAGAAAGG
rnacentral:rRNA from 1 species